AUUAAAGGUAUGUUCUGUUAUACCUACAGUGGUUCCACUAAGAAUAUACCAGACACUGUUCAACCAAAUGAUGAGCAAACCACUAAAGGUUAAUAAGAAAUGAUGUUAGAAGUUUCUCUUUCUUUUUUUUUUUUUUUUUUGGACUGAAUUAUGUAAGCUAAACUGCUGUGGAGACAAUGCCCAUCUUCUCGACAGUGUGUACGUCCUGUUCGUGAGGACACAGCUCAGCAAAAUGCUGUGUCGAAAUGGAGCAGCAAGAAUAAAUGUACUCCAGCUCUUCAGCUGCUGAGACUCCCAGGCAGGACAAGAAGCUGUGUCUUACAGAAAAU
rnacentral:lncRNA from 1 species